ACGGGCCGCCGUCACUCGCCCGGUCGGCUCCGGACGGGCAGUAGCCGCUCUCCCGGGAGGACCGAGCGCGGCUUGUCUCUGGCGGCGGCGGGGCGGGCACCUCGGUUUGGCGCUCUUCGCGCCGCCUCCGCUGGGGCCUCGGGCUCGGGCAGGGACGGGUCGGUGGCGUUCCCUGAGCGUUAACGAGUAAACUGUGUCUGUCUCCACAGCCGCCUCUUUGGGUUCGUGAGAUUUCAUGAAGAUGGCGCCAGGACGAAGGCCCUACUGGGCAAGGCUGUUCGCUGCUAUGAAUCUCUAAUCUUAAAAGCUGAAGGAAAAGUGGAGUCUGAUUUCUUUUGUCAAUUAGGUCACUUCAACCUCUUAUUGGAAGAUUAUCCAAAAGCAUUAUCUGCAUACCAGAGGUACUACAGUUUACAGUCUGACUACUGGAAGAAUGCUGCCUUUUUAUAUGGUCUUGGUUUGGUCUACUUCCAUUAUAAUGCAUUUCAGUGGGCAAUUAAAGCAUUUCAGGAGGUGCUUUAUGUUGAUCCCAGCUUUUGUCGAGCCAAGGAAAUUCAUUUACGACUUGGGCUUAUGUUCAAAGUGAACACAGACUAUGAGUCUAGUUUAAAG
rnacentral:lncRNA from 1 species